AACUCUUGGUGGUGGAUUACUCGGCUUGUGUGUCGAUGAAGAACGCAGCCAGCUUCGAGAAGUAAUGUGAAUUGCAGGACACAUUGACCAUUGAUACUUCGAACGCACAUUGCAGCCCCAGGAGUUCCUUCCCGGGGCCAUGCCUGUUUGAGGGUUA
ensembl:rRNA 5_8S_rRNA 5.8S ribosomal RNA